CGCAGCGCAACUCUCAGCAGCAGCAGCAGCAACACUUUGCAGCCGCGAGCACCGAAACCAGCCGCAGGAAUGGCCCUCCUCAAGUGCAUCCUUCUUCUCGUGGUGGCUGUCCUAGCUCUGGUGGCAGCCAACCCCAUUCCGGAGCCAGGAAACCUGGGAGGUGGUAAACACGAGCACUUCAUAAUCCACGUGCCGUACCACGUGCACACAGUACACCACCACCACGUGAAGAAGGUUCACGUGCCCGUCUACAUCAAGGAGGAGCACCAUGGCUGGCACCCGUGGGACUAGGCGCAUAAGCGAGG
rnacentral:lncRNA from 1 species